rnacentral:rRNA from 1 species
UACGGAGGGUGCAAGCGUUAUUCGGAAUCACUGGGCGUAAAGGACGCGUAGGCGGGAUAGUAAGUCAGAUGUGAAAUCCUAUGGCUCAACCAUAGAACUGCAUUUGAAACUGCUAACCUAGAGUAUGGAAGGGGCAGAUGGAAUUAGUGGUGUAGGGGUAAAAUCCGUAGAGAUCACUAGGAAUACCAAAAGCGAAGGCGAUCUGCUGGGACAUUACUGACGCUGAGGCGUGAAAGCGUGGGGAGCAAACAGGAUUAGAUACCCGCGUA